ACUUAGCUGCGGUUGAAGCUCCUCUACAAWGGAUAAGACUUUGGUCUUGGUGUAUAUGAGUUUUUGAAAGUAAGGGGAGCAAUAACAACCUCUUGAUAGAACAAGAGUUUUGUUAUUGCUCCUUUUUUUUAUUAGUUCAGUUCAUAGUAGUCUUUUAUUUAUAUUUUCUUUUUUUAUUUAUAAGAAUAAAGAUUCUUAUCGGAAAAAAGAAAUGCUAAGGUGGGCUAUGACUUAGUUCAUGAUUGAGUAUUGCCUUUUCAUUUUCMUUCUGUAUUAAUUUGAAAUUUAUAUGUUCUUGCCUUUUCUUUGUUCCMUUUUUUUUUUUUAUAUUGAAAUAAAAAACUUUGACAGUUAAUAUUUCGUAGGAUACGAAAUAAAUAAUGAUGGUUGGUUGAAAUAGAAUCUUACUGCUUUAUCU
rnacentral:misc_RNA from 1 species